GCUGGGUGUGGUGGCGUGCACCUGUAAUCCCAGCUACUCAGGAGGCUGAGGCAGGAGAAUUGCUUGAGCCUGGGAGGCGGAGGUUGCAGUGAGCCAAGGUUGUGCCAUUGCAUUCCAGCCUGAGCAACAGAGUGAGACUCUGUCUCAC
rnacentral:SRP_RNA from 1 species